rnacentral:rRNA from 1 species
UACGAAGGGGGCUAGCGUUGCUCGGAAUCACUGGGCGUAAAGCGCACGUAGGCGGACUAUUAAGUCAGGGGGUGAAAUCCCGGGGCUCAACCCCGGAACUGCCUUUGAUACUGGUAGUCUCGAGUCCGGAAGAGGUGAGUGGAAUUCCGAGUGUAGAGGUGAAAAUUCGUAGAUAUUCGGAGGAACACCAGUGGCGAAGGCGGCUCACUGGUCCGGUACUGACGCUGAGGUGCGAAAAGCGUGGGGGAGCAAAACAGG